rnacentral:rRNA from 1 species
UACGAAGGGGGGCGAGCGUUGUUCGGAGUUACUGGGCGUAAAGGGCGCGUAGGCGGUUUUUCAAGUCAGAUGUGAAAGCCCCGGGCUUAACCUGGGAAUGGCAUUUGGGACUGGAAGGCUUGAGAUCGGGAGAGGUGAGUGGAAUUCCCAGUGUAGAGGUGAAAUUCGUAGAUAUUGGGAAGAACACCGGUGGCGAAGGCGGCUCACUGGACCGACACUGACGCUGAGGCGCGAAAGCGUGGGGAGCAAACAGG